UGCAUCUGUCGGGAAUCGAACCCUGGGCGCCCGCGUGGCAGGCGAGCAUUCUACCACUAAAUCAAAAGC
rnacentral:tRNA from 1 species